rnacentral:rRNA from 1 species
UGUGAGUGAAGAAGGCCUUCGGGUCGUAAAGCUCUGUCAAGUGGGAAUAAAAUCGCUCGGUGAAUACCCGAGGGAUCUGAAGGUACCACUAAAGGAAACACCGGCUAACUCCGUGCCAGCAGCCGCGGUAAUACGGAGGGUGCAAGCGUUAUUCGGAUUUAUUGGGCGUAAAGAGCGUGUAGGCGGUUGGGAUAGUCAGAUGUGAAAGCCUUCUGCUCAACAGAAGAAGUACGUCUGAAACUGCCCAACUUGAGUACGAGAGAGGAAAGUGGAAUUCCCAAUGUAGAGGUGAAAUUCGUAGAUAUUGGGAGGAACACCUGUGGCGAAGGCGACUUUCUGGAUCGAUACUGACGCUGAGACGCGAAAGCGUGGGUAGCAAACAGGAUUAGAUAUCCUGGUCGUCCACGCUGUAAACGAUGGGAACUAGGUGUAGCGGGUAUUGAUCCCUGCUGUGCCAAAGCUAACGCAUUAA